rnacentral:lncRNA from 1 species
ACUUAUCUUUAGAACUUAUGACACCUUUAGUCAUGAAUGGAAAGAGAUUUAUAUGAAGUAUAUAUGUUAAUGCAACAACAACCCAACAUUAACACAAGUAACAACUUGAACUGUCAGAGGAGCAUUAAAAAUACCAUGUUGGAGUAACUGUAUCCACAGACUGCAUUAUAAACUGAACAGAAAGAAAUUAGAUAGAUUGAUG